rnacentral:siRNA from 1 species
AUUUAGUACAAGUGAUCAGGU